ensembl:lncRNA
CUUUUGUGCUUGGAAAAAUCUUCUGGAAGGCCUCUGCAGGAGGAGGGAAAUUCUCCCCUGCAAGGGCUGCUGAGAGGAGCCGUGGCUGCCCCAUCCCUGGGAGUGUCCAAGGCCAGGCUGGAUGAGGCUUGGAGCUGGUGGAAGGUGUGAAACCUUUUGUGCUGGUGCCUAAAGCGCUGUGGGAGCAGCAGGAAGGUGGGACAGGGCUGUGUCUGUCUGUCCUGUCCCUCUGCCCCCUCUGCCCCUGCUCGGGAGGUGUUUUUGGAAGCAGCACUGCGUGUUUCCCACCCCACGGCCAAGCCCAGCCUCGCUCCUGCUGCUCCGUGUUAUUUCCAUCCCACCCUAAUCGGAGGGGACAGCCACUGGCUAUUCCUGCAGCCUCCCAGCAAAUCUCACUGCAUUUUUCACACUGGAAGCAUCCACAGGCCCUCCCAGUCCUGCACUGCUGUGACAAACGUGGCAGAGCCAUCCCCAUCCCCAGGGCUGCUGUGACAGCGAGACCAGGAGUGACCCCAGAUCUGUGGCACAGCAGAGGGACAACCUCUCAGCCCAGGAGGAGCUCACUACAACUCUGAGACGCCUCACCUGUGGUGGAGAGAGUGAGCUGUGGGAAAAAGCAGCGCUGGGAGAAGCUGGAGCCAUCUCCGGGAUUCCGAGAGUUCCUCCCACGCCCGUGUUCUGCUCAUCUCUUGUGAAGACAAAACAUUUGCUGUUCUCAUUAUCACUGGGAACUUUUCAGCUGGGAAAAAGGAGAAUCCGUGCCCCGAGGAAGAUGAAAGUCAAGUGCUGAUUUAGCCAAUCAUUAGUACCUGGGGCUACUUGGCAAAUUUUUGAUUUCCAAAGUGUUGGACAGCAAAUAGUCCAGUGCAAAUGGGUGGUUCCGAGACCUGAACACAUUGUCCUGCUGCUCUGAUGUUCCAGGUUUCAAAGCAGGAUAUUUGGGCUUAAUUUCUUGUAGUAUUGCACUGGGGGAAAUGUAUCAUCACAUGUUGGGAUAAUCACAAUAUUUCAUUCUGGCUUCAGCAGUUCUUACAGAUAUAUUUCUAUAUAUAUAACAUUGAAACAAAACGCUUUUUGAAAUGGAAAAAAACCCUAUGCCAUUUAAUUCCUAAAAGGUCAAACUCAAAUGCUUUGGCCUUAUCGAAAUGAUUUUCUCCUUUGAUUUUUCUUUCCAAAUGCAAUUUCAUCGAAAUCAGAGCAUUUCCUCAAAUGUUUCACCUUUGGUGAAAUGGCAUCUCCUGACAGGGAAGUGUUUGGGGGGGAAAUUUCUGGUCAGUCCUGGCCGGGCAUGACCCCCUGGCUACGGCUGGCCCGAGGUGCCCUGCCAGCAGCUCCCAGCAGCCCGGCUCAGGGACCAGCCCUGCUCGCUGUGUUUGAUCCAUGUGUUGGUGUUUUCCCAUCCCUGGCCGGGAUGUGAUGGAGGGGGAAAUGUCUCUCAUUCCUAUCAGGUGAUUCACUGCCCUGGCCCUGUGCUGAAUCCUCCCUCCUCCCGAGCUCGCUGGGAGGAUCCAGAGCCUUCCUUCCUAUUUUUACAAAGCUUGCAGCAUUGUCAGAAAGGAAAGGGUACCAUCUGGU